rnacentral:rRNA from 1 species
UACGUAGGUGGCAAGCGUUGUCCGGAUUUACUGGGCGUAAAGAGCGCGCAGGCGGUCGGUCAAGUCGGAUGUGAAAGCCCCCGGCUCAACUGGGGAGGGUCAUUCGAUACUGAUCGACUCGAAGGCAGGAGAGGGAAGCGGAAUUCCCGGUGUAGUGGUGAAAUGCGUAGAUAUCGGGAGGAACACCAGAGGCGAAGGCGGCUUCCUGGCCUGUUCUUGACGCUGAGGCGCGAAAGCCAGGGGAGCAAACGGG